rnacentral:tRNA from 1 species
CACUGCGAAGCUAUAUAGCAUUAACCUUUUAAGUUAAAGACUGAAAGCCUUAACCUUUCCACAGUGAA